UUCUCCGAGAAUAUGCAGUGUCGAAACGAAGGUGUUAAGCUCACCGCCUGGGAAGUACGGUCGCAAGACUGAGACUUUAAGGAAUUGGCGGGGGAGCACCACAAGGGGUGCGGCGUGCGGUUUAAUCUAAUUCAACGCAGAGAACCUCACUAGCGGCGCCGGCAGAAUGAAAGUCAUGCUGAAGACAUUACUUAACGAGCCGAGAGGUAGUGCAUGGCCGUCGUCAGCUCGUGCUGUAAAGUGUCCUCUUAAGUGAGGCAACGAGCGAGACCUGUACCUACAAUUGCUAACAACCUCAUGAGGGAUUGAGCACAUUGUAGGGACUGCCCUGGAAACAGGGAGGAAGGUGCAGGCUACGGUAGGUCUGUAUGCUCCGAAUCCGCUAGGCUACACGCGCGCAGCAAUGACAGAGACAAUGGGAUGCAACUCCGAAAGGAGAAGCUAAUCCUCAAAACUCUGCCUUAGUUUAGAUUGAGGCUUGUAACCCAGCCUCAUGACACCGGAAUCCCUAGUAAUUGGAGUUCAUCAUGCUCCAGUGAAUAUGUCCCUGCUCCUUGCACACACCGCCCGUCAGGCCAACCGAGCAGGGUUUAGGUAAAAUUUAGCUUAUUGGUUGAAUUGAAUCUAAGCUCAGUGAGGUGGGCUAAGUCGUAACAAGGUAGCC
rnacentral:rRNA from 1 species